UACGGAGGGAGCUAGCGUUGCUCGGAAUCACUGGGCGUAAAGGGCGCGUAGGCGGACUUUUAAGUCAGGGGUGAAAUCCUGAGGCUCAACCUCAGAACUGCCUUCGAUACUGGAGAGCUCGAGUCCGGGAGAGGUGAGUGGAACUGCGAGUGUAGAGGUGAAAUUCGUAGAUAUUCGCAAGAACACCAGUGGCGAAGGCGGCUCACUGGCCCGGUACUGACGCUGAGGUGGCGAAAGCGUGGGGAGCAAACAGG
rnacentral:rRNA from 1 species